rnacentral:lncRNA from 1 species
AUGUCUGUGAAGGUGAGCAGACCUAGUGAAGGCUGUCCCCCACUAUUUACAUCCAUAGGGCUUCUUUCCUUUAUGAGUUCAUUCAUGUGAAUGAAGCUAUCUGGAUCCAGCAACGACUUUUCCACAUUGUUUACACUCAUAGAGCUUUUCUCAAGUAUGAAUUCAUUUACGUAUUUAAACAUAAGAGGAAGUAGUGAAGGCUUUUCCCAAUUAUUUACAUUCCUAGAGUUUCUCUACAGCAUGACUUUGUUUAUGUCUUUGAAGAUAAGAAGAUGUAGUGAAGGCUUUACCACAU